GACGAACGCUGGCGGCGUGCCUAAUACAUGCAAGUAGAACGCUGAAGGAGGAGCUUGCUUCUCCGGAUGAGUUGCGAACGGGUGAGUAACGCGUAGGUAACCUGCCUGGUAGCGGGGGAUAACUAUUGGAAACGAUAGCUAAUACCGCAUAAGAGUAGAUGUCGCAUGACAUUUGCUUAAAAGGUGCAACUGCACCACUACCAGAUGGACCUGCGUUGUAUUAGCUAGUUGGUGAGGUAACGGCUCACCAAGGCAACGAUACAUAGCCGACCUGGGAGGGGGAUCGGCCACACUGGGACUGAGACACGGCCCAGACUCCUACGGGAGGCAGCAGUAGGGAAUCUUCGGCAAUGGACGGAAGUCUGACCGAGCAACGCCGCGUGAGUGAAGAAGGUUUUCGGAUCGUAAAGCUCUGUUGUAAGAGAAGAACGAGUGUGAGAGUGGAAAGUUCACACUGUGACGGUAUCUUACCAGAAAGGGACGGCUAACUACGUG
rnacentral:rRNA from 1 species